AACGAACGUUAGCGGCGCGCCUAACACAUGCAAGUCGAACGAGAAAGGGCUUCGGCCCCGGUACAGUGGCGCACGGGUGAGUAACACGUGGAUAAUCUUCCCUCGGGCGGGGGAUAACACUCCGAAAGGAGUGCUAAUACCGCAUAAGACCACGGAAUCGCAAGAUUCUGCGGUCAAAGAUGGCCUCUUCAUGAAAGCUAACACCUGAGGAUGAGUCCGCGGCCCAUCAGCUAGUUGGCAGGGUAAUGGCCUACCAAGGCAAAGACGGGUAGCUGGUCUGAGAGGAUGAUCAGCCACACUGGAACUGAGACACGGUCCAGACUCCUACGGGAGGCAGCAGUGGGGAAUCUUGCGCAAUGGGCGAAAGCCUGACGCAGCGACGCCGCGUGAGUGAUGAAGGCCUUCGGGUUGUAAAACCCUGUCGAGAGGGAAGAAUGGCCCGGUGCUAAUACCAUCGGAGUCUGACGGUACCUCUGGAGGAAGCCCCGGCUAACUCCGUGCCAGCAGCCGCCGUAAAAC
rnacentral:rRNA from 1 species